UGAACAUUGAGCCUUGAUGUGUAGGAUAGGUGGGAGGCUUUGAAGCGUGGACGCCAGUCUGCGUGGAGCCAACCUUGAAAUACCACCCUUUAAUGUUUGAUGUUCUAACGUAGGCCCCUGACCGGGGUUGCGGACAGUGUCUGGUGGGUAGUUUGACUGGGGCGGUCUCCUCCCAAAGCGUAACGGAGGAGCACGAAGGUUAGCUAAUCCUGGUCGGACAUCAGGAGGUUAGU
rnacentral:rRNA from 1 species